CUUGGAGGAUCUAUAGCAAGGCUAAAUUGUAAUAAUUGUUACAAUAAUCGAUUUUGUCGAAAUAAAUUCUAAGUAGAAAAUGAUAAUGACAUUUUUUAUUAUAUGUCUCGACCAAAUUACGUGCCAGCAGUCGCGGUAACUCGUAAGAGGCUAGCGUUAUUCAUCUUGAAUAGGUUUAAAGCGUUCCUAGACGGUUAAUUAAGGCUUUUAAACUAGAAGGUUAUUAGUAACUAAUUAAACUAGAGUUACAUGUAAGGGUGAUUUAAAGUACUAAUGAGUGUAGAGAUGAAAUUCUGUAAUACAAAAUAUGUAAGUAAGGCACAGGUAUUGGCGAAAGCAUCAUCUUAUGUAAUAACUGACGUUAAAGGACGAAGGCUCCUAAGAACAAAAAGGAUUAGUUACCCAAGUAGUUUGGGGCAGAAAAUGAUGAAUGUCAUAGAUUAGAAGUUUUUUUAGUCUAUAAAUGAAAGUGUAAGCAUUCCACCUCAAGAGUAAUUUGGCAACAUUGGAACUGAAAUCAUUAGUCCGUUUCUGAUACAAGUAGUGAAGUAUGUUGUUUAAUUUGAUGAUCCGCAAAAAACCUUACCACAAUUUGAAUAUUAAUGAUUUUUUUCAUUAAAUACAAGCGUUGCACGGCUGUUUUAAGUUAAUCUCGUGAGAUGUUGGUACGUCCAAAAAUUAACGUAAACCCUUACUUUAUUUUUAAAUAAGGUAGCAACACUCGAUUAAUAGGGUGGGUAAUAGGGACUAAUACAAGUCAUC
rnacentral:rRNA from 1 species